GCUCCAAUAGCGUAUAUUAAAGUUGUUGCAGUUAAAAAGCUCGUAGUUGGAUUUCUGGUAUGCUGCGCCUGGCCGCCUCGUUUAGAGUGUGAGUGCCGGUGCGCGGUUGCCAUCCUUCUAGAAAACGCGUCUACCAUUUACUUGGACGGGCGCGCGAUCUAGAUCUUUUACUUUGAAAAAAUUAGAGUGUUUAAAGCAGG
rnacentral:rRNA from 1 species